GUGCCGAAAGCCUCUCACCGGCCAGUCCUCCAGCUCUUGCUCCUGUGCUGUGGGUCGGACCUGUACCUUCACACCCGCCAACCCCAUCAUGGGUACCUGCCAGUAAUAGCAAUAUUACUAUUUUUUAUGACAUCGGCUCAUGCUCAUCAAUUGAACCGGAAGUAGUGAUUGGACAGCAGACGAGGUGCAAUGAGGCAAAAACGAAGACGGGAAAUGAAUUGUUUGACUUCUGCUACGUAUUGAACGUCGUUUCCAGCUACCGGACGACCAGCAUGGCACUAGGCGCCAUCUGGUGGAAUCGUCGUGUCUUAGACAAAAAAUAAACAGUCAAACUG